rnacentral:rRNA from 1 species
CUAGCUGCUCUAUGAUUAUUAAAUGGCCGCGGUAUUUUAACCGUGCAAAGGUAGCAUAAUCAUUUGUCUUUUAAUUGGAGGCUAGUAUGAAUGGUUGGACGAAAUUUAUACUUUCUUUGUUUUAUGUAAAUGAAUUUGAUUUUUUAGUUAAAAAGCUAAAAUUUUUAUAUAGGACGAGAAGACCCUAUAGAACUUUAAUUAAAAUAUAUUUUAAUUAAUUUUUGUUUAUUUUUAUAAUUAAAAUAUAUUUUAAUUUUAAUUGGGGUGAUUAUAUAUUUUAUUUAACAUAUAUUAUUAUUAUUUCAUUAAUAAAUGUUUUUAUUGAUCCAAUAUAUUAUUGAUUAAAAGAUUAAGUUACUUUAGGGAUAACAGCGAAAAUUUUU